rnacentral:lncRNA from 1 species
UUAUCUUUGAAAUCAAAUAAUUUUUAUUAAUGUUUCAGCUAAUACUGAAAAGCUUUAACAGUAAUUUUAAAAAUAUUAAACAGUAAUUUUAAAAACAUGGCAGUUGUUACAGAAACACGCACAAAAUAUUGAACAUUUCCCCUGUGCUGAUUACUGAUUAAUCACACUUAGUCCAUUUAUUAAUUCCUCCCCCACAUACGUAUGUAUUUAACAUGUAUGAAUAUUAUAUGAAAUUACAUACAGCUACAUUCACAAACUAGAUAAAUGGAGCUGCAUGCAAUUUUUUUUUAAGGUAAUCAUAUUCAUAGACAGUCAGCCCAUGUAAUUCAUGUCAAUUUUAACAGUAUGUAAGCAAAACAAAUAGGUUUGGAAUUCAGCUUAUUAAGUGCCUUAGAUCUCUGGGUCAGGAUUUAUAGCUUUUUUUCCAGAAUAUGAGACCUUCUGUUAGUAGGUUUCUGAUUAAUAAAUCAAAGCUACAAAAUGCUAUCACAAUAAAAACAUAAACACAAAUUCUUGUAGAAACAGUCCUUUUCAGAGAAACAGCCUUGUGUUUUAGCAUGAACUGUAUCGGUAUUUGAGAAUCAAGCAAGAGAAUAUCAAAGCCUAGCGCCUAGCAUCUAGCAUACAGAUUUGACAAAAUUUGCCCAGUAUCAAUACAUCUUUUUGAAGAGGAAUAUAUCCUGCUCUAUCUGGAGUUGUAAAAUCCACUCCUUUUGCUUGUGUGCCAGAAGCGUAUUCAUGGAGAUCCACCUGUGUAUGUAAGAAUAAUUCUCCCACAUAUACCUCCAUCCAUGCCUACCAGAGCGACAUCCUUGUAUAGUACUUUGUGUACAUGGAAGGAUAAAAAAAAAAAAAACAAACUAGUAAUGAUACUUCCAAGCCCAGUUUAGGAGUGAUCUAUGCUGUUAAUGAAACAGUUCUGGUCUCCCAUUUCUCUCACUAAGACCUCUUCUUUACUAGUUAUUGUGCUUUCCAAGUGCUUGUAAAACUACACAAUUCUUAAUGCUCUCUACAUUCUAUAAGCUUUAGUCUCAAGCAUUAGAGCAGGCUCCUCUCCAUCAUUUCUACUUCAUGAAAACAGUGUUUAAUUCCUUUCACUCAGAUUUGCUUAAAACACAAUUCAGAUUUUGACAUUAAAUAAUAUUCUUUGCCUUCUGAAAUCUUACAUGUUAAAUUGCUAUUCUCUCAUGUUCUUGGAGUUACCAUAAAUUGAAGCUACAUGAAGUAUGUUUUACUCCAGUGUUUCACUAUUUAGGGAAAAGUGAAUCAGUAAGACCAAUCUAGAAAGAGAUCACCUAACAGUAAAAAUACACCGAAUUUGUUUUGAAGGACAUCAUGUGCGUGAUCUGAAUCUUUGCCAGCUAUCUUAUCUGAGAAAUACGAUCCUCACUUUUUGCCUUUCAUGGUACAAAUUUCCAUUUGCAGGCAGGGUCAAUCACAAGCUCCAUCCUCCAUCAAUGAUUAGUUCAUUACCGGUCACAUAGGCAGA